CGCUGCCUUCCUGUCAGUCACACAGCCUGGGUGUUUCCGCUGGCUGGGCACAUGAGGACUUGGGUGAGGAGCCCAGGUGACCAUGGCAGGAAGGCACCCGGGCUGCCGCAGAGCGUGAGGGGCCUCCUCCUCCUCAAGGACAGCUGUGCCGCGGGGGGCCGCACGGGCAGCCUCACUUCGCCAUGGAGACAGGCUUGGGACAUCUGAGCAGGAGUCGGGUCUGCAGGGGCUGUGGCUCUGUGUGACGGGGGCCCAGCACAGCCCCUUGGUGCAGGGACUGGAAGUGCACCUGAGACCCCCGGGGGCAGUGCCCCCAGCUGCCAUCCCCUUGGUGCCCUGGGCUGAGUGAGGGUAACGCUCAGCCUCUGUGGCCGCAGGACGACGCCCCCAGCAGGCGGGGUCCUCAGGGAGACGGAGAUCCUGGUGGUCUCGGGAGGGGGUGAGGGGUUUCUCAGGGUUUUGGGACAGGGAAGUGUUCUUUAUUCAAUUUCCUCUCUACUUGCAAAAUGUCUUUGUAAGGGGAAAUAAGCACCUCGGUAUUUGUCCGCAGGCUGAAGGGGCUUUUUCAUCCCGAAUGAGUGUCAGCUUACCGAGCUCCCGGCCCUCUGGUGGCAGGACUGGUCAAGCCACCACUGCAGUGGUCACUUAAUGUCACCCAACACUGGGGACAGGUGUGUCAGGUGUAUGGAUGGACAGAACCCCUGCCCAGCCUGGAGGGUGGCCGGCACCCCCAGCCCGAAGGCCCUUCUGACUCUGUCCUGGAUCUGCCACUCCAGGGGGACCAGCACUGGACCCUGCGUGUAGAGGCCGGGAGAGGACAGCCUGCAGCUCAGACACACGUGUGGGGAUGGGCUGUGUUGGGCUGCUGCUUGUGUGAUCCAUGUGCUGCCUUACAGUGCACUUACAAAGUAGGUCCUGCAUGCCUCCGCACAGUACCCUGAGUCCCUACAAGGAUUUACCCCAGCCACUCGUCUAACAUCUGUGAGUCUUUGGGCUCCAUGUCAGAGUUAAACCUCGGCCCAGCGCACACCGGACACGUGGAGAGAACCCCAAGCCCUAGCUUCGGACCAGGAACCUUGUGGGCCGGGCAGCGCUGAGGUCAAGCAUGGAUCAAAGCAGUGAAGGACAUACAGAAAAAGUCAGCAGUGUAAAUAUUGACAAACUUAUAAAGGAUUUCUCACAUGUAGAAAAGAAAAUAAUAGAAACUAGUGGAAAGAAUAAUGUACUGCGGAUUCAGUUGGAAAGACCACCUGUUUAUUAAAAGUAAUCCAAACAAAGAAAGUCUCACUUAAAAAAGAAUGUGCUGCUCUUCACGAUAUGAUAAAAGGGCUACAACAGACUACUGAAUAGCAACACAAUUUGAAAGGUGAAAAUGAACAACUAAAAAGAAAUGUUGAUAUGACAGAGGAAAGGCUAAAAUCUCAAGAACAGGAAUAUCAGAAUAAUAUCACCAAACUUGCAUAUGAAAUAAAAAUCAAAGAGUAGGAACAUAAGAUAAAAUAAGCAGACUUUAUCAAAAUAUGCAGAAAAAGUUGAAUUAAAUGAAGAAAAGCACAAAGAUCUAAUAAAGAAAAAAUAGAUGGAAAUUUCAGAGUUAAAUGCAAAGUUAGUAACUCAAGAAAAGGAAAAGCAAAAUGAAAUAAACUACAGCUGGAGUUAAACUAGGUCCUCAACCCCGGCAGCACGAUAGAAUCACCUACUUUGAGAAAAAGACACCAACCAUCCCCUACUAUCUCUAAGGUGCCCAGGCAUUUGGUACUUUUUAAAAGCUCCCCAGUCUGAUGCCAAACUAGCAAGAGUUCCGACUAAAUCAAAACCCUACCCAGGUGCUGCUGUUUACCCACAAAGUAUCUACAGAAGGGAGCUUCAACAUUUCCAAGAAGAAAAAAACAGGGAAACUACAAUUCUUUGUAUUAUCAUUCGUAAUUUGGAACAGCGCCUUUCUAUUGGCAAAGAUCCUCAGCUUAAGAGCAGACGAUUUUGAGUAUAACAGUAAAUUCAUUAAUUAGUAUUUACUUUUCAAAAGCAUUUAAAAAUUCACUUUCAUUUUCAAAGUAAGCCUAAAUAAUAAAAAAAAAAGAGACACUUAAGAAAAAGAGUAGGAGAAAUUACAAAAACUGUGCUAAGACAUGGAGAUAAAACAAUAGUCUUUUAAUGAAGAAAUUGAGAUGGAGUUAAAACUUUCUAAAAUCAAACAAAAGUGGAAACACAGCGUACCAGGAUCUGGGAUGCACUGAAAACAGUUCUAAGAAGGGAGUUUAUCAUUAUGAGUGCCUGCAUUAAAAAAAAAUCCGAG
ensembl:lincRNA uncharacterized LOC102029223